rnacentral:lncRNA from 1 species
CCCCUCUCCCCCCCGGGGAGAUGCCUUUGGAGAUGGGGUAAGGGUUGGGGUGGUUGGGGAGGGCUGUGGGGAGCCCUGUGGUCGCUAAUGCCACCCCUGCCUCCUCAGGUCUCCCUCCUACAGCCCCUCGCCUGUGAAGAAGAAGAAGAAGAAAAGCUCCAAGAAGCGAAAAAGAAACAGGUUAUCUUCAAAGAAGAGAAGACACAGCUCCCGUGGGCGCACCCGGAAAUCUCAUCGCCAUCGUCACCGCCACUGCCACUCUCGCUCAGAGAGCUCGGACUCCCACUCCACCCGCUGCCGAAGCAGGCACAGAGCCAGGUCUCGGGAGGAAGGGCGUAA